UUUGAAAAAAAAAAGAAGAAAUAAGAAAAGGAAAAGGAAAAGAAAAUUAGAGAUGGAAAAUGGGGAUAAAUUGCCUCCCUUCUGGAACUUACGGGAGUCCUCUAUCUCUCUCUCACAUUUCUAUACCUCUAUUUCACCAUGGAUACACACACACAUUCCUCCAUGGAGCGCUGCCGCACCUCCGGCAACCAUCGCCUUCCGUUCAGCGUGGCAGCCCUCCGUGUCUCCCUCUCUGUCUCGUCACAUCUCAACCUCCCUACACACCAACACACGUACAUCUCUCUCUCUGCAGCGGAUGUCCGACGGAUUUUCCGCCACCACCGUCACCGUUUUCCGGCAGGUGUGAGUUGGAAUUGUCUCCCCUUUGUGAAAUUCUUCCCCGAGAGAUAGCAUGAGCAUCGAGAAGGCGAAGGAUAAGUGAUUCAAUGAAGGAAUUCUCGGUUUUAAGAUUAGCUCUUUCGAUGUACAACUGCUCAAGUCGGGUCACUAGCCAACCUUUGUGUGUUAGGAAAAUUCUUUCAGAUAUUCUAGAUGUGGCAUAUAUAGAAAGUGUAAUGUAGUUCGGACGUUUCAUUUACUUCGCUAUCCAGGUUGUAUAAAUAUAUAUAUAUAUAUAUAUAUAUAUAAACUUUCGGAUAUGGUCUAAUUUCGGAUGAUAUAUAGCAAUUUUUCCGUUUGCCAAAAAAAAAAGAAGAAUCAAGGAUUUUAUGUUAAGUCGGGAUUGGUACUGAAAGGUGACAUCACUUAUUCGAUUAUUAAACUAAUCGGGUAAGGGGUGUUACAUGUUUUGGUAUCAGAGCCUAGGUUUAGGCGGUCGUAGGCUUGACACGUUUUAGAUGUGUAUAGAAACAUGCCACAUAGGAUUUUGAUUUAAGUCAUUGCUAGUGACCUGGUGUGUGUAUGUUUUCCUGAUGUGUACUUGUUUUCUGGCUUCAAGACUUGACAGUUUUUAGUUUCUGAGUGAUACGGAAAACCUUUCUGUAUAAGGUUCGAAUUGGUGAAUUGAGGUUGAAUAGACCGAUGAUCCUGUUGUCAUUUGGCCGGCUAUUGAAAGAAAAAGCUUGCAUAUGCUGCCCUUUAAAUUGGCUCUUCAACUUAUAUUAUAUACGAUGCCAUUCGUCGUCGUGUUCUUGCUUUCUGUCUUCCUCAAGAGUAGAACUUUCUCAACAACACCACAGAAGAAAAAAAAAAAAAAAAAAAAAAGAGAAGAGUCCGCUUUGGUUGCCCACUGAUCUGAUCAUCUAUCAACACUGGGCUUUAAAGCUCCUUUAGCUGAUAUGGUUUAGUAAUAUGAAUAUGCCAAAUGAGAGUUAUCCUUCGUGAUCUCUUCCUUUGAGAAUUGUUGUUUGGGACCCUCCAACGUGUUUGCCUUUUUGUUGACCUUAUAAGAUAAUUGAAGGAAGUGAUUUUUCCUGCUAGUACUGUUACCUUGGAGAAAUUAUCUUCUUUGAUUAAUUCCUAAUAAUUGCAUCCUUCCGCGUCAUCUAAACAUUAAGUGUUUACUUAUCCACCACCACUGUGUCAUUAUUUUCUAUACCGAGUCUGUAGCUACUUGUAGUUUAUGUGAAACCUGAUUCUGACCCUUGAAACUUGGAAUACUUUUGGUUGAACCUUCUGUCCUUCGUGAUUUAUUGUCUCUAAUCACAAUAAUCCUUUACUUGUGUGCUUUUGCCACUAAAUUUUGUUGUUGAAGUUAUUCGAGCUUAUGUCUUUUAUAUUGACAAAGCCUCUUUGAUAGUUGUUUUUAAGAGAUGACACAUUAACCAUAAUAUCUUUAGUUGACCCCUUCAAUAUAAAUUAUUGGCGUUCUUUCCUGCCGAAAUUACACUGAUUCCUUUGCCUAACCCUAUUGUUUAAAUUGUCUUCUAUCUCGAGACAUUUCUGAGACUUGAGAUUUGAGUUGAUGUUUUACCUUUGUCUCCAAUAACUCUGCUUCAAUCAUCAUCUCUAUGAGUUGUUUUUCUUUGAACUAUCUUCGAAACAUAUGGACCCAGCCAAUGAUAUGAUUCAUAUGUUCCUAUUGUUUCUUAACCAUGAUAUUUGUUAACUUAAGACCAGAUGUGGCUCAGAGAAUAUGCUAACCGGUCAUUGUUCUAUUGAAAUUUUUACCACCUCAAUCGUGCUUUUCUGACCUUUAGAUUAUUGACUAUUCGCUUAUGUCCUACAGAUGCUUAAAUUGUUCUGGGAGGUAAUAAAUAUCUGAAUUAUGGAGCAAAGUUUCCAUGUGACUGAGAAAGUAGUUAAGUGGAACUGGCCACUCCACGUAACUCGAAUCUCAGUAGUGUCCUUCUUCGACAAACCAAUGGGUUUUAACUUUGAAGUCAUUUCAUUGGACUUAUUGUCAUUUCAUUCUUACCAUCGGUUACCUUUUCCAAGCUCUUUCGGUAAUUAUUUAAUGAAAUCAUUUGAUCAGUCACUCUACUACAAUGUAUUAAAGGGAUCAUCUAUUUUCUCAUCAUUGUUGUUUCCUGUUGAUUUUCCAUUCCAUAGAAUUCGUGGAUCAACUCUUCCAAUUGGUAUCGUCAUGUCUUGAUCCGAAAUAUCUUUUUGUGAUAUCAUAUUCGUUGAACAUCUGAGAUGAUCAAUCUCUGAAUUUUCUUUUGAAGAUCAAGUUUAACCACUUAUUAUUCACUUGAUGCAUCCAAUAAGUUAAUGAUCCAUUUUUGCCUCAAUAAUUUCCUAAAUCAUGUGAACCGUAUUAACCAAUCUCUGUGUCAAUCUCUGUCUCCUGUCAUCUAAUAUUUCUCGUACAUCUACACUAGAAAGUCAUGCCUUAAUGGAUAUCUUUGUACCUGAGUUUGGAUCACCUUGUCCAGGAUCUUCUGUUUUGGCUUACUAAGAGGCAAUAUGUGUCUCCAUACCUAUUUCUUCCGUAAUGUGUAACCUUCUAAAAUUCGAUACUUUCUGUACCCUUGCCUAUUGGAGUUGGUGAUAUUUUUGACCAUCUGAUGUUAGUUUCUGCUACCAGAACUUCUAUCAAAGGUAAAUUGAUUGUCUUAUCUGUAAGUUUCUUAUGUUCCUUUCUGAAUAAUCCACCCGAGAUAUCGAGAUAUUUUCUAAUCUAUCUCUCUGGUGAAUAGUGUCUCUAUGCCUGCAUUUGAACCGGAUGUCUUAUGGCUCUUAUAUUACAAACAUUACUUUUGGUGAAGUACGGUUUGCAUGAAUCUGUCAUUGAACAAUCCAAUCUCAUUGACAAUUUUUGCGAUUCCUCUCCCCAAAUUUAUAUCACGUGUUAUCUUCGAAUCAAUCAUUUACUUUAUAUAAAGCUCUCCUUCCUUUCUUUCUUGAGUACGAGUUGUUCGAUCGAAAAUGGAACAGACUUAAGAUUUUCCUACACUUGUUAUGUUAUGAAAGUUCUCGAGGUUCAUUCGAAUCUGAGUUGUCAUAAACCUAUAAUUUGUGCUUACUGAGACUAAUCCUUGAGCCUACGAUGAUCGGAUCUGAGAUUAUCUUGCAAAACUAAUUGUUGGUGAAAGAUGGUGACUUGUGACAAACUGAAGAUUUAAAAUUCUUGAGUUCAUGUUGGUUUGGUUACUAUGAUUUAAUAUCUUUGAACUACUAUGAUAGUGAAUGGCUUACAGAAACAUCACUACAUGCUUAUGUGAUCAUUUGUGAUUCUGCUAUAUGAUGUUGAUGAGAUGAAAAAAAAAAUCCACGUCAAUGCCAAUCGUUCUGUUGUCUUUAGUGUGGUGGGCUUGGCUAGGACUAAUUUUUUUGCAUGAAUUGGGUAUAAAAUUUCCUUGAGAGAAUAUGAUAUGAAAGCAAUAUUCUGUCUAUUCGAUUCGGGUAUCAAUUUCGAGGACGAAAUUUCCUAAGGGGGGAGAGUUGUAACGACCCGAAAUUUUGUAACUCAGAAAUUAGUUAAAAAUUUGUUAGGUUUUUGAAUACAAUAUUUAAGUUGUGAGGUGUAGGAUUUUAGAAAUUGAAAUAAUUUGAAAAAAAAAAGAAGAAAUAAGAAAAGGAAAAGGAAAAGAAAAUUAGAGAUGGAAAAUGGGGAUAAAUUGCCUCCCUUCUGGAACUUACGGGAGUCCUCUAUCUCUCUCUCACAUUUCUAUACCUCUAUUUCACCAUGGAUACACACACACAUUCCUCCAUGGAGCGCUGCCGCACCUCCGGCAACCAUCGCCUUCCGUUCAGCGUGGCAGCCCUCCGUGUCUCCCUCUCUGUCUCGUCACAUCUCAACCUCCCUACACACCAACACACGUACAUCUCUCUCUCUGCAGCGGAUGUCCGACGGAUUUUCCGCCACCACCGUCACCGUUUUCCGGCAGGUGUGAGUUGGAAUUGUCUCCCCUUUGUGAAAUUCUUCCCCGAGAGAUAGCAUGAGCAUCGAGAAGGCGAAGGAUAAGUGAUUCAAUGAAGGAAUUCUCGGUUUUAAGAUUAGCUCUUUCGAUGUACAACUGCUCAAGUCGGGUCACUAGCCAACCUUUGUGUGUUAGGAAAAUUCUUUCAGAUAUUCUAGAUGUGGCAUAUAUAGAAAGUGUAAUGUAGUUCGGACGUUUCAUUUACUUCGCUAUCCAGGUUGUAUAAAUAUAUAUAUAUA